CCAGUCGACGACGACGAUCUCAUCUCUUACAUCAUCACGAGUCUAGAUGAGACCUUCAAACCAGUUGUGUCUGCUCUUCUCAGUAAGACAGAACCAGUGAACAUGGGAGAGACAUAAUCCCAGCUCAAGAACUUUGAAC
rnacentral:snoRNA from 1 species